ACUUGGUAUGGUGGCUGAAUGGUAAAGUGCUUAUAUCUUACUUACUCGUAACCGAAGAUCGAUGGUUCGAUUCCAUUCUGGAGCA